AAUAUAAAUGAUAAUGGUUGGAGCAACCUUUUGGCUGCUGAAGAUGAAACAGAUUUGAAGCUAACAAUAUUUGUGAUGCUAUGCCUGGACCAGACCCGAGGAGCUACGGACCAAAGAAAAAUCCCACUAACAUGCUGAAGGAUGCUUCACUUGUAAAAGGAAUCCUACCUCCUCAGAUGAUUACAGUUCCUGUGAACAUGUUGGGCUUUCCAGAAGUCUUACUACAUUAAGGGUGUCAAUCAUCAUUUUCCAUAUAUGACAUAAAUAUUUCUUUCAAUUUUGACUUCCCUUUUCAAUUAGCUGAUGAUAGGGCUGGAUUUCUUGUUGUUAUUGUU